rnacentral:rRNA from 1 species
UGGCGACCGGCGCACGGGUGCGUAACGCGUAUGCAACCUACCCAUAACAGGGGGACAACACUGAGAAAUUGGUACUAAUACCCCAUAACAUCAGGACCGGCAUCGGUUCUGGUUGAAAACUCCGGUGGUUAUGGAUGGGCAUGCGUUGUAUUAGCUGGUUGGUGAGGUAACGGCUCACCAAGGCAACGAUACAUAGGGGGACUGAGAGGUUAACCCCCCACAUUGGUACUGAGACACGGACCAA